rnacentral:rRNA from 1 species
UAAGGAAUAUUGCUCAAUGGCCGAAAGGCUGAAGCAGCAACGCCGCGUGAAGGAUGAAGGGUCUUUGGCUUGUAAACUUCUGUAAAAGGGGAAAAAUAAUCCCGCAAUGCGGGACUUGAUUGUACCCUUAAAGUAAGCCCCGGCUAACUACGUGCCAGCAGCCGCGGUAAUACGUAGGGGGCAAGCGUUGUCCGGAUUUACUGGGUGUCAAGGGUGCGCAGGCGGGUUUGUAAGUCAGGGGGGAAAUCCCGGGGCUGAACUCCGGAACGGCCAUAGAGACUGCAAGACUAGAGUACGGAAGAGGUGGAUGGAA